rnacentral:rRNA from 1 species
UGGUGGAGUGAUUUGUCUGCUUAAUUGCGAUAACGAACGAGACCAUAGCCUACUAAAUAGUCACGCGAAUCCUAGAUUCGUGGCCGUACUUCUUAGAGGGACUAUAUGAGUCAAUCAUAUGGAAGCGGAUGGCAAUAACA